AUCUUGGGAGAUGGUGUCCUGACCAGACAUCCACCCAACAUAUCUCAACUAGAUAUUUAAGAUAUUAUAUAAUAUUUAAGAACAAUAUUGUGAAUAAAUAUAAAAAUAUAUUUCAUGCUAAUUCAAUGUAAAUCUAUUCUUUUCAAAUAUUUAUAUACAAUAUAAUCACAAAUUCGAUUCAAAUCAAAACACUCAUAACUCAACAGCCAUGAUUAUGACCAACAUUUAACUCUCAUUGGCAGGAUCUAUUGAAUACCAGUGCACAACCUUUACUAGCAGGAUCCACUAAAUACCAGCGUACAACCCCUACUGGUAGGAUCCAUGGAGUACCAACAUAUAAUCUUCAUUGGCAUGGCUCACUGAUUACCAACGUAUAAUUUUUAUUUAAGGGUCUACUGAAACAUAGUUAGGCUGAGAGCAUAAAUUUGAUCUGUAUCAAAAUACUUUUAUAUCAUAACAUAUCAUAAUUUUCACUGAAUAUAUGCAUAAUCAAUAAAUCAUAGUAUUUCAGAAUCACUUUUUAUUCAAAAUAUAAUUUCAUAAAUCAUGCAUAAUUUCAAAGAAUAAUUAUUUACUUUCAGAAUAAAUAUGAAAUAUCUCGAGAAGAUGAUUCACUAUUUAUCUUUCACAUAGCACU
rnacentral:lncRNA from 1 species